CCUACGGGUGGCAGCAGUGAGGAAUAUUGGUCAAUGGGCGUAAGCCUGAACCAGCCAAGUCGCGUGAGGGAUGAAGGUUCUAUGGAUCGUAAACCUCUUUUAUCAGGGAAUAAAGUGCUGGACGUGUCCCGUUUUGUAUGUACCUUAUGAAAAAGGAUCGGCUAACUCCGUGCCAGCAGCCCCGGUAAUACGGAGGAUCCGAGCGUUAUCCGGAUUUAUUGGGUUUAAAGGGUGCGUAGGCGGCGGUUUAAGUCAGAGGUGAAAGUCUGUGGCUCAACCAUAGAAUUGCCGUUGAAACUGGGAGUCUUGAGUAUGUUAGAGGCAGGCGGAACGCGUGGUGUAGCGGUGAAAUGCUUAGAUAUCACGCAGAACCCCGAUUGCGAAGGCAGCCUGCUAAGC
rnacentral:rRNA from 1 species